GACGAACGCUGGCGGCGUGCUUAACACAUGCAAGUCGAACGAAGAGCGAUGGAAGCUUGCUUCUAUGAAUCUUAGUGGCGAACGGGUGAGUAACGCGUAAUCAACCUGCCCUUCAGAGGGGGACAACAGUUGGAAACGACUGCUAAUACCGCAUACGAUCUAAUCUCGGCAUCGAGGAUAGAUGAAAGGUGGCCUCUACAUGUAAGCUAUCACUGAAGGAGGGGAUUGCGUCUGAUUAGCUAGUUGGAGGGGUAACGGCCCACCAAGGCGAUGAUCAGUAGCCGGUCUGAGAGGAUGAACGGCCACAUUGGGACUGAGACACGGCCCAGACUCCUACGGGAGGCAGCAGUGGGGAAUCUUCCGCAAUGGACGAAAGUCUGACGGAGCAACGCCGCGUGAGCGAUGACGGCCUUCGGGUUGUAAAGCUCUGUUAAUCGGGACGAAAGGCCUUCUUGCGAAUAGUGAGAAGGAUUGACGGUACCGGAAUAGAAAGCCACGGCUAACUACGUG
rnacentral:rRNA from 1 species